rnacentral:rRNA from 1 species
CAGUCGCGUCUGCUGGGACUCAGCCUUGCUUUUGCUUGGUGCAUUUCCUAGUUUGACGGGUCAACGUCAGUUUUGAUCACCGUAAAAUGAUCGGAGGAAUGUAGCUUCGAUCUCGUAUUGAAGUGUUAUAGCCUCUGGUAGAUGCGGUGACCGAAACUGAGGAUUGCAACGAAUACCCCUUCUGGGCUAUCCCGUCUGGCCUCUGAAAGUUGCUUAGGGGCCGAAAGCGUGCUUACGGCC